rnacentral:rRNA from 1 species
AACGAACGCUGGCGGCGUGCCUAACACAUGCAAGUCGAAUGGGAUCCAGAGCUUGCUCUGGUGAGAGUGGCGCACGGGUGAGUAACGCGUAGAUAAUCUACCUGAUGAUCCGGGAUAACACUUCGAAAGGGGUGCUAAUACCGGAUAAGCCCACGGGGUCUUUGGACUCUGCGGGAAAAGGGGGGGACCUUCGGGCCUUCCGUCAUCAGAUGAGUCUGCGUACCAUUAGCUAGUUGGUAGGGUAAAGGCCUACCAAGGCGACGAUGGUUAGCUGGUCGGGGAGGAUGAGCAGCCACACCGGAGCUGCGCAACGGUCCAGGCGCCUACGGGAGGCAGCAGUGGGGAAGUGUGCGCAAGGGGCGAGAGCCUGACGCAGCAACGCCGCGUGAGUGAUGAAGGCUUUCGGGCCGUAAAGCUCUGUCAGGGGGAAAGAAGUGUAUUGGUGCUAAUAUCGCCGAUACUUGACGGUACCCCCAAAGGAAGCACCGGCUAACUCCGUGCCAGCCGCCGCGGUAAGAC